AUGGAAGGGGAUAGCAGUGUUGUGAAAUUCACUAACCAGCCAGUAAUCGUUAAGAAGAAAGAAGUAACUAAGAAGAAACAAUCUGGAAAAGCAGUUGCAUCCAAUGGAAUAGAGGCGAAGAAGACAAAGCAGAAGUUGAAUGAUGUUGUACUAGGAAAAAGUGUUGCAGAAUCUGCAAGUGUCGGUUGUGCUUUGAUGGAAGAAUUUGAUCACUUUCUAGAAUACCAAAGUUUGAGCAAAAGAAAUGAGGAACUGAUUGAGAGCCAAGAAGCUGAAAUGGGGUUUAGCUUGUUUGGUGCUAUUGACAAAGAAGUUGAAGAAGGUGCAAGAAAUAUCAUGAGCCAAGAUUUUGAAAUAUCUAAUAAUGAUGAACAUAGUGCAAGUGCUGACAAGGUGAGUAUUGUAAUUAUAAUUCUAUCAUAUGUUAAAUGCCAGGAAGAAUUCUUGUCAAGUUCGUGUGUACAAUUUAAUUGUUUGACAAAAAGUUCAUCUUCUUUGUGUUUGGUAGUUACUUGA
rnacentral:rRNA from 1 species